AGAGUUUGAUCCUGGCUCAGAUUGAACGCUGGCGGCAGGCCUAACACAUGCAAGUCGAGCGGUAACAGGGGAAGCUUGCUUCUCGCUGACGAGCGGCGGACGGGUGAGUAAUGUAUGGGGAUCUGCCCGAUAGAGGGGGAUAACUACUGGAAACGGUAGCUAAUACCGCAUAAUCUCUAAGGAGCAAAGCAGGGGAACUUCGGUCCUUGCGCUAUCGGAUGAACCCAUAUGGGAUUAGCUAGUUGGUGAGGUAAUGGCUCACCAAGGCGACGAUCCCUAGCUGGUCUGAGAGGAUGAUCAGCCACACUGGGACUGAGACACGGCCCAGACUCCUACGGGAGGCAGCAGUGGGGAAUAUUGCACAAUGGGCGCAAGCCUGAUGCAGCCAUGCCGCGUGUAUGAAGAAGGCCUUAGGGUUGUAAAGUACUUUCAGUUGGGAGGAAGGCGUUGAUGCUAAUAUCAUCAACGAUUGACGUUACCAACAGAAGAAGCACCGGCUAACUCCGUGCCAGCAGCCGCGGU
rnacentral:rRNA from 1 species